AACAGGAUUAGAUACCCUGGUAGUCCACGCCGUAAUCGAUGAGUGCUAGGUGUUAGGGGGGUCCAACCCCUUAGUGCUGAAGUCAACACAUUAAGCACUCCGCCAGGGGAGUACGACCGCAAGGUUGAAACUCAAAGGAAUUGACGGGGGCCCGCACAAGCAGUGGAGCAUGUGGUUUAAUUCGAAGCAACGCGAAGAACCUUACCAGGUCUUGACAUCCUCUGACAACCCUAGAGAUAGGGCUUUCCCCUUCGGGGGACAGAGUGACAGGUGGUGCAUGGUUGUCGUCAGCUCGUGUCGUGAGAUGUUGGGUUAAGUCCCGCAACGAGCGCAACCCUUGAUCUUAGUUGCCAGCAUUCAGUUGGGCACUCUAAGGUGACUGCCGGUGACAAACCGGAGGAAGGUGGGGAUGACGUCAAAUCAUCAUGCCCCUUAUGACCUGGGCUACACACGUGCUACAAUGGGUGGUACAAAGGGCUGCGAGACCGCGAGGUUAAGCGAAUCCCAUAAAGCCACUCCCAGUUCGGAUUGCAGGCUGCAACUCGCCUGCAUGAAGCCGGAAUUGCUAGUAAUCGCGGAUCAGCAUGCCGCGGUGAAUCCGUUCCCGGGCCUUGUACACACCGCCCGUCACACCACGAGAGUUUGUAACACCCGAAGUCGGUGAGGUAACCUUUUGGAGCCAGCCGCCGAAGGUGGGACAAAUAAUUGGGGGUGAAGUCGUAACAAGGUAACC
rnacentral:rRNA from 1 species